rnacentral:sRNA from 1 species
UGAAAAAUUACCCUGGCUUUGCUUCUCAUGUCCAUUCCAGAACCACCAACCC